UACAGAGGGGGCAAGCGUUGUUCGGAAUUACUGGGCGUAAAGGGCGCGUAGGCGGCCCGCUAAGUCGAACGUGAAAUCCCCGAGCUCAACUCGGGAACUGCGUCCGAUACUGGUGGGCUUGAAUCCGGGAGAGGGAUGCGGAAUUCCAGGUGUAGCGGUGAAAUGCGUAGAUAUCAAGAGGAACACCUGAGGUGAAGACGGGUUGCUGGGCUGACACUGACGCUGAGUGCGCGAAAGCUAGGGUAGCAAACGGG
rnacentral:rRNA from 1 species